rnacentral:rRNA from 1 species
UACGAAGGGGGCUAGCGUUGCUCGGAAUUACUGGGCGUAAAGGGCGCGUAGGCGGCGCUGCAAGUCAGGCGUGAAAUUCCUGGGCUUAACCUGGGGGCUGCGCUUGAGACUGUGGUGCUAGAGGACGGAAGAGGGUCGUGGAAUUCCCAGUGUAGAGGUGAAAUUCGUAGAUAUAGGAAGAACACCAGUGGCGAAGGCGGCUCACUGGUCCGGUACUGACGCUGAGGUGCGAAAGCGUGGGGAGCAAACAGG